GAGGGAUCCUGCGACAGCCUAGGCAUCUACAUUAGCUUAUCACCAGGUUCCUACCCCAGAUGUAGGAUACGAAGGUUAUUUCCAGAAAAACUGAGUGUGAUCACGGCUUUGGGACCCGCCGAGAAAUAUUAAAGAACGAGCACGUACUGGGUAUCAUCUAAGCACUUCGACAAAACAAAGAAGUCCCUUCAUAACUUGACUCCAGUCUACCUCUCAGGUUUCCUUCCUGAUCGAUCCUCCUUGACAGUCAAGCCUCAGUGCCUGGAGCCAUCUGGUGCCCUUGGUGAGUCUCACCUUCCCUUCUUUCCUUCCUGAAGGGCUUGCCAUCCAUCAAGUGGCUGGCCUAGUGCAGGGGUUCGCUUUCCUUAGGAGGCCCUCCCUGAUUUACUCUUGGUGCUACUUUCUUACUGAGUGGGGACUGUUGUGAUGACGGGCCUCACACUGAAGACAGAAGCUAGACACUUCCUUUCUGUCUCCUUUACCAUCCUCGUUUGCUCUGGAAAAGCAAGACCACACGUGUGUGACUUCGCUACCACACCAUUUAAUGUGAAAUCAGGCCUCAUGGAAGGCUUUCCGUGAGUGCACAGCAGACUGAAAUGAUGAGGAAGAAAAGUUAGCCCACACACAAAAUUCAGUCUAGGCCUGAGUACCAUUCUAAGGAUUUCAUGAUAUUUUGUUGUAAAUCUAUCUUCAGUUCCAAAGUGUUACCCAGGCUCUCCCCCCACCCUUUAUUUCAUACACUUGUAAAAUAGUCAAAAAUCAUGGGGAACUUACAUAAAGCAUAUCAACUCUUCGUUUUGCAAAGUAUAGUAUAACCAAUAAAUAAUACAUAAAA